UGGGAAUAUUGGACAAUGGGGGCAACCCUGAUCCAGCCAUGCCGCGUGUGUGAAGAAGGCCUUUUGGUUGUAAAGCACUUUAAGCAGGGAGGAGAGGCUAAUGGUUAAUACCCAUUAGAUUAGACGUUACCUGCAGAAUAAGCACCGGCUAACUCUGUGCCAGCAGCCGCGGUAAUACAGAGGGUGCGAGCGUUAAUCGGAAUUACUGGGCGUAAAGCGAGUGUAGGUGGCUCAUUAAGUCACAUGUGAAAUCCCCGGGUUUAACCUGGGAACUGCAUGUGAUACUGGUGGUGCUAGAAUAUGUGAGAGGGAAGUAGAAUUCCCAGGUGUAGCGGUGAAAUGCGUAGAGAUCUGGAGGAAUACCGAUGGCGAAGGCAGCUUCCUGGCAUAAUAUUGACACUGAGAUUCGAAAGCGUGGGUAGCAAACAGGAUUAGAUACCCUGGUAGUCCACGCCGUAAAACGAUGUCUACUAGCCGUUGGGGUCCUUGAGACUUUAGUGGCGCAGUU
rnacentral:rRNA from 1 species